UCAGUAUUAAUACCGGAUUCGGUCCCGCAAAGGGGUAAAGUCUUUUGCGGUGGGGGAGAUGCCUUCGUCCUAUCAGUUAGUUGGCGAGGUAACGGCUCACCAAGACGAUGACGGGUAGCUGGUCUGAGAGGAUGGCCAGCCAGAGGGAAACUGAGACACGGUUCCCACUCCUACGGGAGGCAGCAGUAAAGAAUCUUCCGCAAUGGACGAAAGUCUGACGGAGCGACGCCGCGUGCAGGAUGAAGGCCUUCGGGUCGUAAACUGCUUUUUGAGAGAAUAAUUCUGAAUGUAUCUCAAGAAUAAGCACCGGCAAAUCACGUG
rnacentral:rRNA from 1 species